rnacentral:rRNA from 1 species
GACGAACGCUGGCGGCGUGCUUAACACAUGCAAGUCGAGCGGUAAGGCCCUUUCGGGGGUACGACGAGCGGCGAACGGGUGAGUAACACGUGGGUGACCUGCCCUUACGCUCUGGGAGUAAGACCUCGGGAAACGUACGGGGUCUAAUACCGGAUAUGACUCCAUGACGCAUGUUGUGGGGUGGAAAGCCUUGUGCGGCUAGGGAU